rnacentral:rRNA from 1 species
GUGCCAGCAGCCGCGGUAAUACGUAGGUGGCAAGCGUUGUCCGGAUUUAUUGGGCGUAAAGCGAGCGCAGGCGGUUUCUUAAGUCUGAUGUGAAAGCCUUCGGCUCAACCGAAGAAGUGCAUCGGAAUCUGGGAAACUUGAGUGCAGAAGAGGACAGUGGAACUCCAUGUGUAGCGGUGAAAUGCGUAGAUAUAUGGAAGAACACCAGUGGCGAAGGCGGCUGUCUGGUCUGUAACUGACGCUGAGGCUCGAAAGCAUGGGUAGCAAACAGGAUUAGAUACCCUGGUAGUCCAUGCCGUAAACGAUGAGUGCUAGGUGUUGGAGGGUUUCCGCCCUUCAGUGCCGCAGCUAACGCAUUAAGCACUCCGCCUGGGGAGUACGACCGCAAGGUUGAAACUCAAAGGAAUUGACGGGGGCCCGCACAAGCGGUGGAGCAUGUGGUUUAAUUCGAAGCAACGCGAAGAACCUUACCAGGUCUUGACAUCCUUUGACCACUCUAGAGAUAGAGCUUUCCCUUCGGGGACAAAGUGACAGGUGGUGCAUGGUUGUCGUCAGCUCGUGUCGUGAGAUGUUGGGUUAAGUCCCGCAACGAGCGCAACCCUUAUUACUAGUUGCCAGCAUUUAGUUGGGCACUCUAGUGAGACUGCCGGUGACAAACCGGAGGAAGGUGGGGACGACGUCAAAUCAUCAUGCCCCUUAUGACCUGGGCUACACACGUGCUACAAUGGAUGGUACAACGAGUUGCGAGACCGCGAGGUUUAGCUAAUCUCUUAAAACCAUUCUCAGUUCGGAUUGUAGGCUGCAACUCGCCUACAUGAAGCCGGAAUCGCUAGUAAUCGCGGAUCAGCAUGCCGCGGUGAAUACGUUCCCGGGCCUUGUACACACCGCCCGU